rnacentral:rRNA from 1 species
UGGCUAACUCCUACGGGAGGCAGCAGUGGGGAAUUUUGCACAAUGGGGGAAACCCUGAUGCAGCGACGCCGCGUGAUUUAGAAGGCCUUCGGGUUGUAAAAAUCUUUUUUACGGGAUGAAAAUGACAGUACCGUAAGAAUAAGGUCCGGCUAAAUACGUGCCAGCAGCCGCGGUAAUACGUAUGGACCGAGCGUUGUCCGGAAUCAUUGGGCGUAAAGGGUACGUAGGCGGCCUAAUAAGUUAGAAGUGAAAGAAUAUAGCUCAACUAUAUAAAGCUUUUAAAACUGUUAGGCUUGAGAGAUGAAAGGGAAAGUGGAAUUCCUAGUGUAGCGGUGAAAUGCGCAGAUAUUAGGAAGAAUACCGGUGGCGAAGGCGACUUUCUGGUCAUCAUCUGACGCUGAGGUACGAAAGCGUGGGUAGCAAACAGGAUUAGAUACCCCUGUAGUCCAGCUGG